AUUGAACGCUGGCGGCAGGCCUAACACAUGCAAGUCGAGCGGGGCGGCGGACGGGUGAGUGAGGCAUAGGAAUCUGCCUGGUAGUUGGGGAUGACGUCCGUAAACGGGCGCUAAUCCCUCACACUAUCAGAUGAGCCUAGGUCGGAGUAGCUAGUUGGUGUGGUAAAGGCCUACAAAGGCGACGAUCCGUAGCUGGUCUGCGAGGAUGAUCAGCCACACUGGAACUGAGACACGGUCCAGACGCCUACGGGAGGAAGCAGUGGGGAAUAUUUCACAAUGGGCGAAAGCCUGAUACAGCCAUGCCGCGUGUGUGAAGAAGGUCUUCGGAUUGUAAAGCACUUUAAGUUGGGAGGCGUUACCGACAGAAUAAGCACCGGCUAACUUCGUGCCAGCAGCCGCGGUAAUUC
rnacentral:rRNA from 1 species